GUUUAUAUAAUUUAAGUAAAAUGUUAGACUGUGACUCUAACUAUAAGAGUUAAA
rnacentral:tRNA from 1 species